rnacentral:rRNA from 1 species
ACGAAUGCUAGCGGCGUGCUUUAGGCAUGCAAGUAGAACGAAUUUGUCGCAAGACGAGUAAGUUGCGAACGGCUGAGUAACACGUAGGAAUCUACCUUUUGGCGGAGAAUACCCAUUCGAAAGAAUGGCUAAUACUGCAUAAGAUCGCAAAGAUUGAAAGGGCUUUACCGCCCACCGAAAGAGGAGCCUGCGGCCCAUCAGCUAGUUGGUAGGGUAAAAGCCUACCAAGGCUACGACGGGUAGGGGGCGUGAGAGCGCGUUUCCCCCAGAAUGGGACUGAGACACGGCCCAUACACCUACGGGUGGCAGCAACCGGGAAUAGUACGCAAUGGACGAAAGUCUGACGUCGCGACGCCGCGUGGAGGAUGAAGGCCUAAGGGUCGUAAACUCCUUUUGCCAAAUGGGAGACCAUUUGGAGAAUAAGUAACUGCUACUCUGUGCCAGCAGCAGCGUUAAUACAGAGUUACAAGCAUUGUCCGGAGUCACUGGGCGUAAAGCGUUUCGCAGGUGUUUUUCUAAGUUAUGUUUGAAAUACCGGGGCUCAACCUCGGGAACGGGCGUAAUACUGGAAAAAUUGAAGGGUAUCGGGGCUAUGGAACUGUCGGUGUAGGGGUGAAAAUCCGUUGAUAUCGACAGGAACUCCGAGGGCGUAGGCAGAUAGCUAGGUACCUCUUGACACUCAUGAACGAAAGCUAGGGGAGCGAAAGGGAUUAGAGACCCCUGUAGUCCUAGCCGUAAACAUUGCUCGCUAGCUUUCCCUAAUUUAUAGGGGGGCGUAAGCUAACGCGUGGAGCGAGCCGCCUGGGGAGUACGAUCGCAAGAUUAAAACUCAAAGGAAUUGACGGGGACCUGCACAACCAGCGGAGCAUGUGGUUAAUUCGAGACGAACCGAAGAACCUUACCCAGACUGACAUAACACCGUUUAUUUCUCCAGAAACGGAGAGAAAUCCUACAGAAAUGUUGGAUGGUGCUACAGGUGUGCAAUGGCUGUCGUCAGCUCGUGCCGUAGGUGUUCCCUUAAGUGGGGUAACGAGCGCAAACCCCUUCGCGUGUGCAUUAUUCACGCGAUACAGACCACCUUGAGUGGUAGGAAGCGGGGACGACGUCAAGUCAGCAUGGCCCUUAUGUCUGGGGCAACACACAUACUACAAUGGGACCGACAAACCGCUGCCAAGCCGCAAGGCGGAGGCUUAAUUCGGAGAAACGGUCUCUCAGUUGGGAUUGUGGGCUGAACUCGCCCACAUGAACAUGGAGUUGGUAGUAAUCGUGGAUCAGCUAAGCCACGGUGAAUACGUUUCUCAGGUCUUGUACACACCGCCCGUCAAGUCAGUGGAGUUGGGGGCACCCGAAGUCCGAUGUAUAUCGGUCGAAGGUGACACCAGCAACAAGGAUU